GAUCAUGGCUCAGGACGAACGCUGGCGGCAUGCCUAACACAUGCAAGUCGAACGGAGAUUAUUUCGAUAAUCUUAGUGGCGAACGGGUGAGUAACGCGUGGGCAACCUGCCCUCUAGAUGGGGACAACAUCCCGAAAGGGGUGCUAAUACCGAAUGUGACAGCAAUCUCGCAUGAGGAUGCUGUAGAAAGAUGGCCUCUAUUUAUAAGCUAUCGCUAGAGGAUCGGG
rnacentral:rRNA from 1 species